UACAGAGGUCUCAAGCGUUGUUCGGAUUCAUUGGGCGUAAAGGGUGCGUAGGUGGCAUGGUAAGUCGGAUGUGAAAUCCCGGGGCUCAACCCCGGAACUGCAUUCGAUACUGCUGCGCUAGAGUACUGGAGAGGAGAUUGGAAUUUACGGUGUAGCAGUGAAAUGCGUAGAUAUCGUAAGGAAGACCAGUGGCGAAGGCGGAUCGUCUGGACAGUUACUGGACGCUGAGGCACGAAAGCGUGGGGAGCAAACAGGA
rnacentral:rRNA from 1 species